rnacentral:rRNA from 1 species
CCCAGACUCCUACGGGAGGCAGCAGUGGGGAAUAUUGCACAAUGGGGGAAACCCUGAUGCAGCGACGCCGCGUGAGUGAUGAAGUAUUUCGGUAUGUAAAGCUCUAUCAGCAGGGAAGAUAAUGACGGUACCUGACUAAGAAGCCCCGGCUAACUACGUGCCAGCAGCCGCGGUAAUACGUAGGGGGCAAGCGUUAUCCGGAUUUACUGGGUGUAAAGGGAGCGUAGACGGCAUGGCAAGUCUGAAGUGAAAGCCCGGGGCUCAACCGCGGGACUGCUUUGGAAACUGUUAAGCUGGAGUGCAGGAGAGGUAAGUGGAAUUCCUAGUGUAGCGGUGAAAUGCGUAGAUAUUAGGAGGAACACCAGUGGCGAAGGCGGCUUACUGGACUGUAACUGACGUUGAGGCUCGAAAGCGUGGGGAGCAAACAGGAUUAGAUACCCGUGUAC